GAACAUUCUCUCUUUAUUCGUAUAUUUUUUUUUAGAAAAACAAGUGUUUGUUUUUGUUGUAAUUGUCUUGUUUGUUAACAUUUUCAGAAUUCUGUACAGGAUAAAAAGAAAUAAAUCACUGCUUUUUAGGUACAGAGUCAAAAUCUCAAACUAGAAAAAAAUUAACUUCAAAAUCAACAGCAGAAGAAGUUUACAAUAGAAAUGAGCAGUAAGACAUCGUCAGAAGUGCAACGGCUCUGAUGGGUUAAGAGUGGAAAACAAUUACCGAAAUAAAAAUACUCCUCUAUUUUUAAUAAAAAACAAACAAACGGUCAUUUCUUUACAGAGUAGAGCCGGUAAUUAUCUGAUGUAAAAACAUAUUUACAAAGAGCCGUUAUUUAGUGGAUGUAUUUUCCCUCCGUCGUCGUCACAUCAGCACCGGAACCAAUGAACAACUCAACACGAACGUUGAAAAGAAGACAAAGUUACAGUUAAUGACAAUAAAUCAAAAAAUUACGUUUGACUUGGUCCCCGGGAAAUAAUGUCCGCACCACAAAUAGCACCCUAUUCCCUAUCGAGUGCACUACUUUCGCCCAGGGCUCAUAGGGAAUAAGGGGCCAUUGGGGACACAGACAACGAUAUUUGGAGGAAGCUUCUUUUCUGUUGUUGGAAGGGAAAUCCUUCACUUUGACAAAGAGGACCAAAAGUCAAGGGUCGCGACCUUUACGUGACCUUCAGGAUCCCAUAACACUGACCAGGAAGUGUUUAAUGCUCAACCCUUCACACUCGACAAGCAGCCUCCUCUGAGUAGGACGAAGUUACGCCCCCUUUAGACACUGACCUAAGAUCAGUUUUGUGUUUGUCCUCGCCCAACAGUGAAGGGUGGAGGGUUUGAGGAACUGAUCCUAGAUCUCUCUUUCAGGGACACUCUGACUGAGCCGGUCUUUCUCACAACACUACAGAACCACAGAGGACAACCUACAUUACCAAAAUAUUAAAAUAAAAUAUAAACUAAACAUUUAUCGAAACAAUUUCUUGGGCGUUUUACCAACCGUAGCGGUGCUUUGGAGAGAGGUCAACUUCCAACUCACUUAGUUAGAUACACUAAAACUAUGUGUAUAUUUGACAGAAUAUAAUCAACAACAUUUGUGUGGUUGCUAUGGCGAGGCAGUGAACUAAACACGGGGUUAGUUAAGACUAGUAGAAGGUUUUUUGGCUGGUUUGUUGACAUGACAGAAUUCUCCUGUUCUCGUCACCUUGACCUUGAGAGAAGCCUGGGGUCAAACCUACCUCUUUCUCCGCCCAACACUCACCGUUGGGGGGGGGCACUGGUAAUAGUGUCAUUGUACAAGCCACGACCACAACCUCCUUUUUGAAACCUCUCCAUCUCGUUAGGGUUGGAGGUAUGUAUCUCUCUUCACAGUCAAACACUUCAUGUUCAUAACACCUGGAACCGACAAAACAGAGCUCAGAUUCAUCAACAGCUCGUUGUAUGUAGGUCUACCGGACCAAAGCAACAGAGGAGACAACAGAGAUAGUAUGAAUUGAGUUGAAGGUAAAGAUAACUGUCAAAAUAACAUUUCAUUUCAGACCAAUGUGGGAAGAACUUCAAACUUUUUUAAAGCAAAAAACACAAAAAGAAAAGAAAAGGACAAAAAAAAUCCUCGGGAUCCAAGAUGGCCGACAAACGGCUGUUAGUUUCUAUUUCAAAUGAAGUCACUUGUGGUGCUUGAAUACAUUCAAUGCCCAGCUAAUCCUGUUGCUAUACGUCUUUUUGAUCCAUUUAUAUAGAAUUGCUAAUAACACGGACAGAGGAUGAUGUCAUGUUGUUACUCCCUUAACUGCCUGACUAACUGACUAACUGACUGACUGACUGACUGGCUGACAAUGAUCUACUUCUCCUUUCAGCCGUCGGGGAGCGGUGUGUGUGGUGUGUGUGUGUGUGUGUGUGUGUGCUGUGUGUGUGCAACAGCUACCAGUGAACAGGAAAUGAAGAGAAGCUCGGCUGCUCGGCUCAGAGAGAGAGAGUAGGCCGGUUGCUUAGCAACAGGACCGUGGGGUGACCGCACAGCGCCUGCGCUAAAUAAAUACCGCCACAAAAGAAGAACGCAAUCUGUUUUGUUUUGAUGUUUUCACAGUACACACAGCCAGACGAACAACCCAACGCAGACAAAAAACACGUCUCUAGAGAGGAGAGAUGGGAGGGAGGGAGAGAGGGAGGGAGGGAGAGGGAAAAAGUGGGGAGAGAGGGGAGGGAAGGGAGAGUGAGAAGGAGAGAGGGGGCAGGGAGUGAGAGAGGGAGGGAAAGAGUGGGAAGGGAGGGAGAGAGAAAGAGAGAGAGAGACAGAGAGAGAGAGAGAGAGAGAGAGAGACAGAGAGAGAGAGAGAGAGAGAGAGAGUGAGAGACAGAGAGAGAGAGAGACAGAGAGAGACAGAGAGAGAGAGAGAGAGACAGAGAGAGAGAGAGAGAGUGAGACAGAGAGAGAGAGAGACAGAGAGGGAGAGACAGAGAGACAGAGAGAGAGAGAGACAGAGAGAGAUCUCAACCACAUCUCAGACAGACAGAGGUGACAGCUCUCUACCUAGCUCUGAUGGCUGUUACAGAAGUGGGUUGUGUGUGUGUUUAUCUCCUUGUCUGCCUGUCUGUCUGUCUGCUUGUCUGUCUGUCUGUCUCUCAAAGGGACCUGCAUGUGUAGAAAUGCUACGAUCACAUGCCACACGCCAUCACACACAACAUGAAUAUAACGAGAUGUGAAACCUGUCAGGCACAAUCCAAUAACCCAGGUAUCCAAGAAGAACUAAUACCGGAAAAAUAAAUAGAGAUGUUCUACCCCUAUAUUGAAAAACAAAUAUUAAAAAGACUCUCCCCUGUUUGAGAGCUUGUAGUCAGUCUCCUGUCUCUCCUGUCUUGUUGUCAGUCUCCUGUCUUGUAGUCAGUGUCCCGUCUCUCCUGUCUUGUAGUCAGUCUCCAGUCUCUCCUGUCUUGUUGUCAGUCUCCUGUCUUGUAGUCAGUCUCCUGUCUCUCCUGUCUUGUAGUCGGUCUCCUGUCUUGUAGUCAGUCUCCUGUCUUGUAGUCAGUCUCCUGUCUUGUAGUCAGUCUCCUGUCUUGUAGUCAGUGUCCUGUCUCUCCUUCAGUGUCCUGUCUCUCCUGUCUUGUAGUCAGUCUCCAGUCUCUCCUGUCUUGUAGUCAGUCUCCUGUCUUGUAGUCAGUGUCCUGUCUCUCCUGUCUUGUAGUCAGUGUCCCAUCUCUCCUGUCUUGUAGUCAGUGUCCUGUCUCUCCUGUCUUGUAGUCAGUGUCCCGUCUCUCCUGUCUUGUAGUCAGUGUCCUGUCUCCCCUGUCUUGUAGUCAGUGUCCUGUCUCUCCUGUCUUGUAGUCAGUGUCCCGUCUCUCCUGUCUUGUAGUCAGUGUCCUGUCUCCCCUGUCUUGUAGUCAGUGUCCUGUCUCUCCUGUCUUGUAGUCAGUGUCCCGUCUCUCCUGUCUUGUAGUCAGUGUCCUGUCUCUCCUGUCUUGUAGUCAGUGUCCUGUCUCCUGUCCUGUCC
ensembl:lncRNA